ACCCGGCUGGCUCGGCUUUGGAACAAUCAUUGAAUUUCGCCUAGUGCUAUACUCAUAUCCUUGGAGGGCCAGUAACAUAUAUGUUUAAUUUACCAAAAGGGCAGAUGGGAUACGUUGGUACACGUGAAUAAAAUAAUUCAAUAUUUAUUCAUUGACGCAUGAUAGGGAUCUAAAAACCGGCAAGUAAUAUUGAAGUAACACAUGCUGGUCCUUUGUUCAUAUAUCGUUUUCUGCGUUCCGCUAAUCGUGGCGAUUCUUCUGGAGAUAUCACGAGUUAUCCUUGUUGUGAUUUGACAUCAUUUGCAAUGCACUGAAGUGAGCGUUCUAUAAUCACAAACACAGAUACACGCACAUAAUUGCCGUGAUACUUUCCCUGUAACGGUGUUUUCAUAACACGAAAAUGCAACAAUAAAACGGAAACCGAAAAACUGACAGCUGAAAAUGGCGAUGGCGUCAUCGUAUGGCGCUCUGAUUAAUAUUAUGGGGCACUGUUAUUUAGUUUGAGAAAAAUGAUGGUUAAUUCUUUGCGCAAAGCCAAAAGUCGGUAGGAAAUAAUAUUCAAAAAUUACCUGUUGCUAGAUGCACUUCGCCUAGGGGGCUACGUGUCGCUGUGUUUUUGGCUUUGGGUAGUUAUGGCGGACGUAGGCGAAGCACGUUGUUUCUGUGUGAUCAAUUUCCUUUUUAUGCGAAACCUUUCUUGGUUGCACAACGUAUUUUAAUCUGCGUGCAGUGUAUGACCUCGUGAUAUAUGCAGACAAAGUGGACGUAGUUAUUACAGUGUCAAGGAGUUUGCACUUCCACGGAGGAUCGGUGGACGAUUUUAACUCAACGGCUGUUUAUGCCUACUGGCGAAGAAAUGAUGGACUGUAAUCCCGCCAAGGUGUCGAUGAUGAAAGAAAACAUACCUUAUCAAGACAGUGGGACAUCCACAAGCAAGUGCCACAUAUUUUUUAUGCUCAUGACAUGGAUGCAGCUCUGUGAGAGAAGUGGAAAGAACAGUGCGGUCACCUAAGGAGCUCCACGGACAGAGCAUGACUGGAAAGCGGCGCCAGCAGUUGCUGCUGUCACGAGUUGCUUUCAAGAGUACGCUGCCACGAAGCCCAGCCGCAAAGGCAGAAGUCUGACUGAGUGAAUUGAUGCAAUUAACGGCUACUUGCCUGACUUCCUAAAAAGGCUGUAAGGCAAUAAAU